UAGCCUAGUGGUUAAGGCUACGGAUCGCCAAUCCGGAGACGGCGGGUUCGAUUCCCGAU
rnacentral:tRNA from 1 species